CUCAUUGGUUCCACCAUGCCCAGAUCCAGGUGUGGUGGGCGACUAACAACAGGCAAUUAGCGGAAGAUGUCCAAGCCCUGUGGCAUAGUGGUCACUAUUUGAAACAGUUUCCACCCAAAUCCUAUCCCACUGUAGGUGGGCACAGCUGUCGUCUUACUGCGACCGCCAGUCCCAAGGAAUGUAUCCUGACAGUGCCAGCAGCUGCCUUGUCUGCGG